rnacentral:rRNA from 1 species
GGCGAACGCUGGCGGCAGGCCUAACACAUGCAAGUCGAACGAACCUUUCGGGGUUAGUGGCGGACGGGUGAGUAACACGUGGGAACGUGCCUUUAGGUUCGGAAUAACUCAGGGAAACUUGUGCUAAUACCGAAUGUGCCCUUCGGGGGAAAGAUUAAUCGCCUUUAGAGCGGCCCGCGUAUGAUUAGCUAGUUGGUUGAGGUAAUGGCUCACCAAGGCGAGGAUCAGUAGCUGGUCGGAGAGGAUGAUCAGCCACAUUGGGACUGAGACACGGCCCAAACCCCUACGGGAGGCAGCAGUGGGGAAUCUUGCGCAAUGGGCGAAAGCCUGACGCAGCCAUGCCGCGUGAAUGAUGAAGGGCUUAGGAUUGUAAAAUUCUUUCACCGGGGACGAUAAUGACGGUACCCGGAGAAGAAGCCCCGGCUAACUUCGUG